rnacentral:rRNA from 1 species
UGCCAGCAGCCGCGGUAAUACAGAGGUGGCAAGUGUUGUUCGGAUUUACUGGGCGUAAAGGGUUCGCAGGCGGCUUUGUGUGUCAGAUGUGAAAGCCCACGGCUUAACCGUGGAACGGCAUUUGAAACUACAGAGCUAGAGUACGGGAGAGGAGAGGGGAAUUCAUGGUGUAGCGGUGAAAUGCGUAGAUAUCAUGAAGAACACCGGUGGCGAAAGCGCCUCUCUGGACCGAUACUGACGCUCAUGAACGAAAGCCAGGGGAGCAAAGAGGAUUAGAUACCCUCGUAGUCCUGGCCAUAAACGGUGUGCACUUGAUGUGGGAGGUUUACCCCCUUCCGUGUCGAAGCUAACGCGAUAAGUGCACCGCCUGGGAAGUACGGCCGCAAGGUUAAAACUCAAAUGAAUUGGCGG